rnacentral:rRNA from 1 species
GACGAAGGGUGCUAGCGUUGUUCGGAAUUACUGGGCGUAAAGCGCGUGUAGGCGGUUUCCCAAGUCGGGUGUGAAAGCCUUGAGCUCAACUCAAGAAAUGCACUCGGUACUGGGUGACUAGAGGACCGGAGAGGAUAGUGGAAUUCCCAGUGUAGUGGUGAAAUACGUAGAGAUUGGGAAGAACACCAGUGGCGAAGGCGGCUAUCUGGACGGUUUCUGACGCUAAGACGCGAAAGCGUGGGGAGCAAACAGG